UCUUUCUUCCUUCACUAGAAGAAGAUUUUCACCUAUAUAUUAAACCUAUAUAGGAAUUACUUACGGGGUCUUGGCCCAAGAGUGGUCAGGAUUCCAUAAACCUGUAGCCUACUUGUCCAUAUUGAUGGUCCCUGUGUCCCAAGGAUGGCAAACAUGCAUCCAAUCAAUCGCUGCAGCAGCCAUCCUAGUAACAGCCAGGCAAAAACUUACAUUUGAGAGAAAUCUGAUAGAAUACACACCACACUCCAUCCAAACCAUUCUUAAACAACGAGCAGCCGAAUGGCUAACAGACUCUCAUAUUAUACAAUAUGGGAGCACCCUCAUCCAUUCCACAAAUGUAACCCUGAAAACAACCACCCACACCAAUCCCGCACAGUUCCUAUGUGGAAUCCCCAAAAACAAGAUCUCAUGCACAACUGCAUAGUUUUUAUAAACCCGCAAACAAAAAUUCAAGAAGACCUCCUAGAGAGCCCAUUAGAUGAAGGAGAAAUCCUGUUCAUCAACGGAUCAUCUAGAGUAGUAAAUGGAAAGAGGUGCUCUGGAUACUCCAUCAGAGAUGGAAAAGAACUGUACAGGUUAGAAAAGGAAAACUACCUGGUCUACCCAGGUAUGUGAAUUAGAUGCUUUGGAAAAAGCAUUGCACAGACUAGACAGAGCUAUUGGAACCAUUUAUACUGACUCUAAAUAUGCAUAUGGAGUAGUCCACAUGUUCGGGAAAAGCUGGGCUGAAAGAGGGUUUCUCAGAUCUAAGGGCAAAGACAUUUUACACAAAGAACUUAUAUUAAAAAUUAGAGGCACUUAAGUUACCGAAAGAAAUUGCAAUGGUACGUGUUCCAGGUCAUCAAAAGGGAUCUCUGGAGAAACCAGAGGAAACAUCCUAGCAGACCAUGCUGCAAAGGAGGCUGCUUUUGAGGGGGAAGUAAAGGUAUACAGAUUUUAUCCAAGAGACACACCCGAGAGUACACUGGACAACGCUCUUCCCAUCCCUGUUUUUAAAGACAAUGAAAAACAGAAACUCAUAUCACUAGGUGGAAAGGAAGAUUCUGAGGGACGGUGGCAUCUUCCUGAUGGCCACCAAAUGUUAAAUAAAGAGCUCACUCGAGAAAUUUUACAGAACCUCCACCAAUCCACACACUGGGGAUCUAAAGCUGUAGCAGGUCACUUUCUUCAAAAUUUUGGAUGUCGGGGAAUUGAUGAAUUAGCUAAUCAAAUUACCAUAGGUUGUAUAAUUUGCCAAAAAGUCAAUAGAAAAUUAACGAGGAGAACGAGACCUGGAAGAAUUGAAAUUGCAAUUAGACCCUUCCAAAGUAUUCAAAUUGAUUUCACAGAAAUGCCCCAUGUCCAAAGAUGGAAGUAUUUCUUAGUGAUUGUAGAUCACCUUACCAAUGGGGUUGAAGCAUUUCCAACUGUUAAUGCCACUGCUCAAACAGUAAGUAAGGUAAUCCUAGAACAGAUAGUCCCAAGAUAUGGAAUUAUAAAUAACAUUGAUUCAGACCAAGGUACCCAUUUUACAUCAUUAAUAUUGCAACAGUUGGCUCAACAAUUUGGAAUAACUUGGAAAUUACAUACCUCUGGCACCCUCAAAGUUUGGGAAGGGUAGAACGCAUGAAUCAGACUAUUAGAACAACCUGGACCAAACUGAUGUUAGAAAUGAGGUCGACUUGGAUAAAGUGCCUACCCCUUGCCCUUCUCAGAAUCCAGAGCCAACCCAGAGCUGACUUAAGUUGUUCCCCAUAUGAAAUGUUAUACGGGCUUCCCUAUUUAGCCACCCCACAUCAAGUAACUGCCAAAGAGUGAGGAAAUAGAAAUGUGCAAGGGUAUAUUCAAAAGAUUGCCCAGAAUCUAAAAGACUUAAAGCAGAGAGGUCUUGUACCCCAGAACAUUCAUUUAGACUUCUAUUUACAUAAGAUCUGCCCCGGAGACUAGGUACUUAUUAAAUGCUGGAAGGAACAAUCCCUGACUCCAUCAGGGGAAGGUCCUUUCCAAGUUCAAUUGACCACAGAGACAGCCAUCCGAGCACAGGAAAAAGGGUGCACUUCCAUCAGCCGAGGAAAAAAAGGUCCAGUAACACCACCGCAAGAUGACGAGAAACCUCCAUGAACUACUCUCUACAACAGUCCUCCCCGGUGUUAUUCCUGAAAUUAUUAUAUCAAUUGUUAUUCUCUCACUGCUUUACAGCAGAGAAUCUAAUGGAUGUUGUAGUUACUAUUUAACAAGUUAUUACGAAUUUUCAAUUCCAUUUCUCCACCAGUGAAGAGUAUCAUUUCCCUGAGAAAUGACCUUUCCUCUCCAAUAACUAUGUCUUUUUUUUUUUUUUUUUAAAUUUCCUUAGGAGAAACAACAUGAAUAGAACCAAGGCCAGUUCCAGGUAGGACGUUACUGCAUUUAGGUCCCUUCCUGCAUCCAGGUACACUCCCAUGACAACCAAGGGGUUCGAACCCAGGAGAAAAAACAGAGAGCUUGAAAGGUCUGCACCACCUAUCAGACAGUACCACGGCACUUCAAUCUUCCCACUGACCCCUGAGCGAGGGAAGGGAAGGUUGAACUUGAUGCCAUAGCAACUGUGCGUACUAAUGAGAGAGCUUCCCAUCAAAAACCUCAGAGAGAUCAUCCCACCCCAGUGACAGCACACUCUGGGAAAGAAGAUCUUACCUCAUCAUCUACUAGCACCAAUCACCAGAGACUAUGGGGGCAGAACUGCAAGUACAGACUGAGGGGAGCGAGAAUAUCAAAGGGGCAGCCUGGCCUGAAGAGCUGCCUUUGCUGUCUUUUACUGUGACUGGGACUGUGACUUAGCUACAGCAGGGGACCCCACAGUGCAGAUUUUGGUCAAUAUCUCUUUUUAGAGACCUUUUUCCAGAUUUGAGGGCAGACUAAGUGCAUUCACUGCAAUGCCCUUGGGUUCUGGCCUUGGGGCCAGACGCCAGUUCGGCUAGAGGUUUCCUCAAUCCUUGGGCCUGGGACUUUAUCCUUUUUUCUUUCUUUCCUUUCUUCUUUUUCCUUACCUCCCCUUUUGUUUUUCCCCUUUAAAUAAACACCCUAUUUUUGUUCAAA